rnacentral:piRNA from 1 species
GGAAAAGAAGCUGGUAUAAGCGAUGCCAGA